rnacentral:snRNA from 1 species
AUGCUUCGGCGGUACAUAUACUAAAAUUGGAACGACACAGAGAAGAUUAGCAUGGCCCCUGCGCAAGGAUGACACGCAAAAUCGUGAAGCGUUCCACAUUUUU